GACAAGAAAUAACAAUACGGGGCUUAAAGUCUUGUAAUUGGAAUGAUGGGAAUUUAAACCUCUUCCAGAGUAUCAAUUGGAGGGCAAGUCUGGUGCCAGCAGCCGCGGUAAUUCCAGCUCCAAUAGCGUAUAUUAAAAUUGUUGCAGUUAAAAAGCUCUUAGUUGAAUUUCUGCUGCAUUGCUUGUGUCCCUCUGGGGUCUGUGCAUGUGGCUUUUUUCGGACGGAGUUUCUUUGUCUGAAUGUUUACUUUGAGAAAAUUAGAGUGCUCAAAGCAGGCUUUCGCCUUGAAUAGUUUAGCAUGGAAUAAUAAAGUAGGACUUUGGUUCUAUUUUGUUGGUUUUAGGUACCAAAGUAAUGGUUAAUAGGAACAGUUGGGGGCAUUCGUAUUUAACUGUCAGAGGUGAAAUUCUUAG
rnacentral:rRNA from 1 species